UUACCUUUGCUUUAGCCACAGCCUCCAUGUUGCUUGACAAAUCAUCAAUCUCCAUCUUGUAUUCACUCUUCUCCUUCUCCAGCUUCUGCUUGAUCCGCUGGAGGUUGUCGAUCUGUUCUCCGAGUUCAGCCACACUGUCUGCCUGCUUCUUUCGGAGAGCUGCAGCUGUUGCUUCAUGCUGCAAGGUAGACUCUUCCAGAUCACGACGCAUCUUCUGGAAUUCGGCUUCACGCUUCUUGUUCAUCUCAAUCUGAGCAGCAGUGGCACCACCAGCUUCCUCAAGCCUCUCGCUGAUCUCUUCAAGUUCCCUGGAAAGAUCAGCUCUCUGUUUCUCCACUUUGGCACGAGCAGAUCGCUCUGCCUCAAUUUCCUCUUCCAGCUCCUCGAUACGGGCCUAAAUAAAAAAAAGGCUUCUUUAUAAGGAUAUUUGUAAUAUGGAUUUUUCCAGCUGUGCAUCUAACUUCACCAUUUCACAUCAGAAAGAUUAAAGCUAGUGUUACCUGAAGUUCUUUGAUCUUCUUCUGAAGCUGUGCUCCCAAAGACUGUUCAUCCUCAAUCUUGCUGAGAAAUUGACUUAUCUCAAAAUCCUUCCUGUUUUUAAAGUAUUGUUUUGUUAAAUGUGCCAAAUACUUAUUUUGUGUAAUUAUGUAAAGUUCAAAAUCUGAUGGCCACUCACUUUUUGAUCUUCUCAUCUGAUUGCUGUUUUUCAUUCUCCAGGUCCAUUAUGGACUCCUGGGCCAGUUUCAGAUCACCCUCAAGCUUCCUCUUGACUCUCUCAAGGUCCAUACGGAGUUUCUUCUCUUGCUCCAAUGAGCCCUCAAGCUAUUGUUACAGAAACUGGAACAUUAAAAUCUGGUAUAGAGCAAUAAAUUUGAUUUCUUAUUGAUUCACGGUCUUAUUCCAAUCCCAAACAUCUUACAUCGUCCACUUGCUGCUCAAGCUUUGUCUUAGCUUUAGUCAGAGUGUUGACUUUGUCCUCCUCUGCCUGAAGGUCAUCAAGAGUCUGCUGGUGUGCCUCUUGGAGGGCUUUCUUCUCUUUGGUCAGCUUGGCAAUGCUCUCGUCUUGAGAGGCCAUCUCCUCUGUCAGGUUUUUCACCUAAAUGGAAACAUUAAUUUCUGGUUUCAUUAUCAAGAGCCUGAAUCACAAUCUGCAGUGUAUAUGAAGAGUUUGGUUCCAAAAUGCUAUAAAUCCAUUUUGAUUAAUUUGAGUAAAAAUGUGUUUUCUUUACCAAGAAAGUGGCAAGAUGAAAACCUAUAUUUUUCUGUUUCAAACUUUCACAUAGCAUCAUUAGGUUAUAAUAACAUUAAAAAUUCUAAUCCAGAUUUUUAUUUUCAAAUAUUUAUUAUAAAAUGUUGUUUCCCCCCAAAAUGCAAUAAUUCCAUGUUUGUUUGUUUUUUUUUCAAAAUGCAAUAAAUCCAUUGAAUUAAUUUGAAAGUUAUUUACAGAACAUAGUAAGUUGAUCCAUAUAUGACAGCCUCUGAAUUUUGGUCAGUACUAAUCUUAUAUACAGGCACUGGACUAAAAAUACAUUCAUCGGUCAUCGCUCCCAAAAUGAAUUCAACGGGUCAUCUUGUUUGCUAUAAAUUAAUUAUAACAAUAAAAUAAAAUUUCUUCAUGAACAAGAAUAUGAACAGCAAUAUCACAUUAGACCACAAAAAAAUUCCAAAAUAACAUUUCCCUUACAUUCAGCUUCCGAAAGUGCAUUUGUCUUUGCCGUGUUACAUUCAUUUAGUUGACUAGUGCUAUACGCUGUAUUAACAAAAACAUAAAUGGCAUUAAUAAAAACACUUACACUGACAAGCUAGGCAAUAUUGCGUUCAUAAUCGAAUGAGAUUCAUCUAAUGAACUCAAUAUUUUAUAGCUUGUCUGUGAUCUACGGCUCUGUGUACUAAAUGCUGCUCCAUCUGAAAGCAGAAGCACGUGAUGGAGAUUUACCGGUACUAUUAAUCACCGAAUCAGCUUUACUGACGAGAUGCGCAUGACAAUCAAAUGUGAUUUAUGGUGCAGUCCUUGUUUGUUGAUCACAAAGUACAAAGUAGAUGAGGAAAACUAGGAUGCUGGGUGUAUUCAAAGCGCCGCCAUUACUUUCUAGAGUGCGUGGAAUGGUGUGCUGUGAUUGGUUGAGUGGAUUUAUCGCAUUCUGCUGAAAAGGGAGACAGGCGUUUGUCACAGUUUGGAAAAAAGGGAGACAACAUGACCUAAUAUAUACAAUAUAUAUACUGACUUUAUUCUCUGUUGCAUGUUUCUCCUUCUCCACUUUUGCCAAGGUGAGCUCCAGGUCAUCAAUGUCUUUUUUCAGCUCAGAGCAUUCGUCCUCCAGUUUCCUCUUCUUGGCAGUCAGUUCAGCAUUGAUUUCCUCCUCAUCCUCCAGUCUCUCGGUUGUCUCUUUGAGUUUGCCCUCAAGCUGGAUCUUGCUUUUGAUGAGCCCUUCACAUCUCUCCUCAGCAUCAGAGAGGUUUUCAGAUUCCUGUUCAUUGACAUGGAUAUAGUUAAUGACUUAUGUUUAGAGAUGCACAAUAUAACGGCCACCAUAUCGGUAUUGGCUGAUAAAUUUUAAUUUUUCUGUUAUUGUUAUCGAACCGCUAAGAGAAUUUGACCGAUAUCUUAGAGCCGAAAAUAUAAUGCAUUAUUUUCUGCAGAGACACUUCAGAUGCGCACUGUUCACCAUGAU
ensembl:lncRNA